rnacentral:lncRNA from 1 species
GCGGGAGCCUGGAGGAGGCCGAGCGGCUGUUCGCGGCGGCCAAGGAGAAGACGGUGGUGUCCUGGACGGCGAUGGUGGCGGCCUUCUCCCAGUAUGGCCGCUACGCGGAGGCGCUGGACCUCUUCCAGGAGAUGGACCUCGAGGGAGUGAAGCCGGACGACGUGACUUACACGAGCAUCCUGUUUGUGUGCACGCACGGCGGCAGCCUGGAGCAGGGGUGGCGCUACUUCACGGACAUGGCGGAGCUCCACGGCCUGGCUCCAACGGCGGACCACUUCGCGGCGAUGGUGGACCUGCUGGGACGAUCCGGGCGGCUCUUCGACGCAAAGGAGCUGCUGGAGAGCAUGCCGUUUGAGCCGGACCCGGUGGCGUGGAUGACGUUCCUGACGGCGUGCCGGAUCCACGGGAAGCUGGAGCUGGGCGAAGCCGCGGCAGAGAGAGUCUACGAGCUGGAUCCGUCGAGCACUGCUCCUUACAUCGCCAUGUCCAACAUCUACGCGGCUCACGGGAUGUGGGAAAAGGUGGCGAGCGUGAGGAAGAAGAUGGAGGAGAGGGGGCUCAAGAAGCUGCCGGGGCUGAGCUUCAUCGAGGUGGACGGGAAGCUCCACGAGUUUAGCUCCGGCGGGAAGUACCAUCCCAGGACGGACGAGAUCUGCGAGGAGCUCACGCGGCUCCACGGGCUGAUGCGCGCGGCGGGCUACGUCCCGGACACCAAGGCGGUGCUUCACGACGUGAGCGAGGGGGAGAAGGAGACGAUGCUGUUGUAUCACAGCGAGAAGAUGGCCAUCGCGUUUGGGCUGGUGAGCUCGCGGGGGAGCGGCGAGCCCAUCCGGGUGGUGAAGAACUUGCGGGUGUGCUCCGACUGCCACACCGCCACCAAGUUUAUCGCCAGGAUCGCUGGUCGGGAUAUCAUCCUCCGGGAUUGCAAUCGAUUCCACCGGUUUAGCAGCGAUGGGAAGUGCUCGUGUGGGGAUUACUGGUAGAGAGAGAGAGAGUUCCAGCAGCAGCGGCGCCGCCCGCCCCGCCGCCAUGGUGUGGAAGAUAUAGUACUUAAUGCUGGUCGUGCUCGUGUUGUGAAUCUCCCGUGGUGGCGAUCGUUACCACCACCACCACCACCACCACCAACAGUAACACAAAUUCAUUUACAAAGAAUUUUCUCUUUUUUUCUUGAAUAUUCUUUUAGCCAAGAAAAAGGAAUACAAAAACUUUGAAUGAAUUUAGCAUGAUUGAGUUUUUACUUCGAGAAAAAGAUAAAAUGUCUUGCAAAAACUUUGAAUGUCUCCACAAGCAUUAUUUACAUUGUCGCUAUUGAUGGGGCUGCGUUGUUGAUUUUAAUCCAAGCUGGCCUCAAAUUUCCACUCGCAGUCGUCAUUGUCAGGAGCACUCGCCUGGCUGUGUCCUCAGCCUUCUCUUGGAAAUAUGGCAUCUUCAAGGCGUCUUGCGCCGAGAUCCUCCUCGCCGGAUCAAUCGCUAGCAUCCUCUUGAGCAGCUCCACCGCAUCGGGGUCUUUAAUUCCGCUCCUCGCGUCCUCGGCUUUCCACCGCGCCAUCUUCUCCAAGAUCCUCUUGCGUGCUCGCUCUCGGCGCCUGUCUUGAUAGCCCAUGCCACAGCCAUCGAUGUCCAGCUUCUUGGCGAAAUCAGCCACAAAGUAGUCGAGCGAGUCCCAGUCCUCCUCGUCGGUCACGUCAAAGGGAUUGCUACCCAGGAGCAUCUCCGCGAAUAUACACCCGGCGCCCCACACGUCGAUUGCGGUGCCAAAGCUGGUGGCACCCUUGAGAAGCUCCGGAGCGUUGAACGUUAGGGUGCCGACCUUGUUCGACCAGGGGCGUGUCCGCAGCCUCCUCGCGGCAGCGAAGUCCGCCAGCUUCACCACAAGCUUAUUCUUCUCUCCAUCCCUUUUGACGAGAACGUUGCUCGUCUUGACGUCUUGGUGAACGAUUCUGUGCGCGUGAAUCCACGCCAGGCCCUCGAGGAUCUGGCGCAUCACGGCCCUGAUGUCGUGCUCCCCAAGCUUGCGUGACAAGAUCACAUCGCUCAAACUCCCGUCCAUGAGCUCCAUCACCAUGAAUGUCCCCUGGUUGUUGCAGGUCAACCCAAGAAGAUUGACAACGUUGUCGUGCGCUACCUCUUCCAGGAUCUCCGACUCGUUGAUGAUGGCAUCGUAAAGGUACUCGUGCUCGUACAUCUUCUUCAUGGCUACUUUGUCUCCAGUCUCUCGGUGGAACCCAACCCUCACCUCUCCGUCGCCUCCAGCGCCUAGCAACCUCGCGUCACUCGCCCACACAUAGUCUGCCAUCGCUCGAAAAAAUGAAUGGUUAGGAAAACCUAAAGGAUUUGUUUUGCAGAAAAAGGCACCUAGCUUCAAGAAAAAGAUGAGAAAAGGGAGUUUAUUUUAAUUACAAAUGUAAAAAGAAAGGAAAAAAACUCUUUAAAUCUUGCUGCGGGCAGCAUAUUCUCCUUGAGCUUCCUUGAUCAUGUCCAGCCCUACGUUGGGUGCGGUUGCAGAGGACCUGUCUGGGAUCGUCAAGAGAGCACCAUAACUACACACACACACACAAAAAAGUAAAGAAAAAAAGGAUCAGAAAGCAUAUAAAAAGAAAAUGUGCCAAGCUUUUUUGUUUCGGUUUUGGCUAUUGAGGGCCGAGAUGUAAAACGCCAACGUUUAUCUCAAAGAACCAUGAGAUCGCCCGGGUGCAAAAGGUUGAGGCGUGGUACUCCUGCAAAAUCACAGCAUAUCUCUCACUUACACACACACACACACACAAAGGAGAGAUUUUAAGCUUGGUGAUAAAAAGUGGUAGAAAAAAAUGACCAAACAACUUAAAAGGUGCAAAGAGAAGAAAAUGGCCAAAAGGUUUUUAGAAUCUGACCAUUUUUUUCUCUCAUACUUUUACCCAUCUUACCUUUUUCUAUAAUAUAAAAAAGGUGGUGACAGAGAUUUUUAAAAAAACAUUGGAGUUCUUGAUGAGUGUGAGAGUAUUGAAGCUAAAAAAAGGUGGUGAAAAUCGUGCAAUGAGAAAAAAAUCUGACUGGGGUAAAACUAAUGUGGAUUAAAAAAAGCUGGGUGUUUGGUUUUUUAGGGCUCUUGACGAUGACGUGAGAGAGAGCGAGAGAACGGGCGAUCGACGAUCGGCGCGGCGGCUGCGCGCGCGCGAGGAGAAUCCAUCCAUGUCAUCAGAGCAGCAGCAGCAGCGGCUGGAGCGGGAGCGGCGACAAGGCAAGUAAGAAGAAGAUGAGCAGCGGUGGCGCCAUGGCGGCGGAAAUGGGGAUCCCCAGCGGCGCCCUGGAGCGCAUCUUCGUCCGCCUGGACCGCGACGACGUAGCGCGCUCGUGCGCGGUGUGCCGUGAAGAUCUUCAGGGAGAUGACCGGCGCCGCUGGCUUGAAGCCCGACGCCGUGACUUUCAUCGCCGUGUUGGAGGCCUGCGCGAGCCUGGGCCGCCUCUUGGAAGUCAAGGCCCUCCACGCGCAGAUAUCCGAGAGCGAGCUGGAAUCCAACGUGGUGGUGACGAACACGCUGAUCAACAUGUACGCGCGCUGCGGGAGCCUGGAGGAGGCCGAGCGGCUGUUCGCGGCGGCCAAGGAGAAGACGGUGGUGUCCUGGACGGCGAUGGUGGCGGCCUUCUCCCAGUAUGGCCGCUACGCGGAGGCGCUGGACCUCUUCCAGGAGAUGGACCUCGAGGGAGUGAAGCCGGACGACGUGACUUACACGAGCAUCCUGUUUGUGUGCACGCACGGCGGCAGCCUGGAGCAGGGGUGGCGCUACUUCACGGACAUGGCGGAGCUCCACGGCCU